AUUGAACGCUGGCGGCAUGCUUUACACAUGCAAGUCGAACGGUAACAGGCCUUCGGGUGCUGACGAGUGGCGAACGGGUGAGUAAUGCAUUGGAACGUACCCAGAGGUGGGGGAUAACGCAGCGAAAGCUGUGCUAAUACCGCAUGUGAUCUGAGGAUGAAAGCGGGGGACCGAGCAGCAAUGUUUGGCCUCGCGCCUUUGGAGCGGCCGAUGUCGGAUUAGCUAGUUGGUGGGGUAAAGGCCUACCAAGGCGACGAUCCGUAGCUGGUCUGAGAGGACGACCAGCCACACUGGGACUGAGACACGGCCCAGACUCCUACGGGAGGCAGCAGUGGGGAAUUUUGGACAAUGGGCGCAAGCCUGAUCCAGCAAUGCCGCGUGCGGGAAGAAGGCCUUCGGGUUGUAAACCGCUUUUGGCAGGAACGAAACGGUGUCCGCUAAUACCGGGCGCUAAUGACGGUACCUGCAGAAUAAGCACCGGCUAACUACGUG
rnacentral:rRNA from 1 species